AUUGAACGCUGGCGGCAGGCCUAACACAUGCAAGUCGAACGGUAACAGAAAGCAGCUUGCUGCUUUGCUGACGAGUGGCGGACGGGUGAGUAAUGUCUGGGAAACUGCCUGAUGGAGGGGGAUAACUACUGGAAACGGUAGCUAAUACCGCAUAACGUCGCAAGACCAAAGAGGGGGACCUUCGGGCCUCUUGCCAUCGGAUGUGCCCAGAUGGGAUUAGCUAGUAGGUGGGGUAACGGCUCACCUAGGCGACGAUCCGUAGCUGGUCUGAGAGGAUGACCAGCCACACUGGAGCUGAGACACGGUCCAGACUCCUACGGGAGGCACCAGUGGGGAAUAUUGCACAAUGGGCGCAAGCCUGAUGCAGCCAUGCCGCGUGUAUGAAGAAGGCCUUCGGGUUGUAAAGUACUUUCAGCGGGGAGGAAGGGAGUAAAGUUAAUACCUUUGCUCAUUGACGUUACCCGCAGAAGAAGCACCGGCUAACUCCGUG
rnacentral:rRNA from 1 species